AUGGACACAGAGAGAAAGGAAUGGAAUGUGAACCUGCUCCGCCAAAUUUUUCACAGUUUUGAUGCAGAGGAAAUAUGCAAAAUCCCCAUUCCGUACAUAGACACAAAAGAUUGCAUUGCAUGGCAUUUUGAGAAGAAUGGGAUCUUUUCGGUCAGGAGUGCGUACAAGCUUGCAUCCUUCUAUAGUCAAAGUGUCCAAACAAAUCCCUCGUGUUCGAACAGAGAGGCUGGGGAUCGUAACAUUUGGGAUCUCAUUUGGAAAGCUAAGGUGCCCGAGAAGGUGAGGAUUUUUGGAUGGAGAGUCGCCACAAAUACCCUGGCCACAAAGAGAAACAAGUUUAAGAGAACAUUUGAGCUAGAACCUACCUGCAGUAUCUGCGGCAAUGGAGAGGAAGAUGAAUUUCACACCGUGAUCACUUGCACAAAGAGCAGGGCUCUCCGUGAUGCUAUGAGGAAAGAGUGGCCCUUACCUGCAGAGAAAUCAUUUAGGAACACCGGGAAUGAUUGGUAGCAGGUGCUCUUGGACACGGAACCAGAGGAUACAUGAGCAAAACUGCUUCUGCUGUUAUGGAGAUGUUGGCACUUGAGAGGGGAUACACUAAGACACAAUGGAAUGGAAUCAAUCAUGAGUUCUGUGAUUUUUCUGAGGAAGUAUGCCGAAGAUCUACAAAUGGCAGCGAUGACAGGGGAUGGGUUCAGUAAAAAUGCAGAAAGUAGCCCCUCCUGUCAUACGAUACAAUGCUCGAAGUGGUCGGGUCCUGUAGGAGAUGUUGUGAAACUGAAUACAGAUGCAGCCUUCCAGUCUGAAUCCGGUGUCUCUGCUGCAGGUGCAGUCGCAAGGGAUAUGGCUGGACAUGUGAUCGUGUCAAUAAGCAGAAAGCUGACCCCCAGCCGAACUGUUGAGGAGGCCGAGGCAAAAGCUGCUCUUGCUGGACUGCGUUCGCUAGCAAAAUACUAUAGAGGUCCUUUGAUCUUGGAACUGGACUGUCAGGCAAUCGUAAAAGAGCUGGAAGCCGGGGGGAGAACCGGUCCCAGUGUUUCGCGCUGA
rnacentral:rRNA from 1 species